rnacentral:rRNA from 1 species
UCGCGGCCUAUCAGCUUGUUGGUGAGGUAACGGCUCACCAAGGCAUCGACGGGUAGCUGGUCUGAGAGGAUGAUCAGCCACACUGGGACUGAGACACGGCCCAGACUCCUACGGGAGGCAGCAGUGGGGAAUCUUGCACAAUGGGCGAAAGCCUGAUGCAGCAACGCCGCGUGCGGGAUGAAGGCCUUAGGGUUGUAAACCGCUUUCAGCAGGGAAGAAACUGACGGUACCUGCAGAAGAAGGUGCGGCCAACUACGUGCCAGCAGCCGCGGUGACACGUAGGCACCAAGCGUUGUCCGGAUUUAUUGGGCGUAAAGAGCUCGUAGGCGGUUCGGUAAGUCGGGUGUGAAAACUCUGGGCUCAACCCAGAGAUGCCACCCGAUACUGCCGUGACUAGAGUGCGGUAGGGGAGCGGGGAAUUCCUGGUGUAGCGGUGAAAUGCGCAGAUAUCAGGAGGAACACCGGUGGCGAAGGCGGAUCUCUGGGCCUGUUCUGACGCUCAGGCGCGAAAGCUAGGGGAGCGAACAGGAUUAGAUACCCUGGUAGUCCUAGCCGUAAACGUUGGGCGCUAGGUGUGGGUGGACAUCGACCCCAUCCGUGCCGAAGCUAACGCAUUAAGCGCCCCGCCUGGGGAGUACGG